rnacentral:rRNA from 1 species
GGGUGAGUAACACGUGGGUAACCUACCUAUAAGACUGGGAUAACUUCGGGAAACCGGAGCUAAUACCGGAUAACAUUUGGAACCGCAUGGUUCUAAAGUGAAAGAUGGUUUUGCUAUCACUUAUAGAUGGACCCGCGCCGUAUUAGCUAGUUGGUAAGGUAACGGCUUACCAAGGCGACGAUACGUAGCCGACCUGAGAGGGUGAUCGGCCACACUGGAACUGAGACACGGUCCAGACUCCUACGGGAGGCAGCAGUAGGGAAUCUUCCGCAAUGGGCGAAAGCCUGACGGAGCAACGCCGCGUGAGUGAUGAAGGGUUUCGGCUCGUAAAACUCUGUUAUUAGGGAAGAACAAAUGUGUAAGUAACUGUGCACAUCUUGACGGUACCUAAUCAGAAAGCCACGGCUAACUACGUGCCAGCAGCCGCGGUAAUACGUAGGUGGCAAGCGUUAUCCGGAAUUAUUGGGCGUAAAGCGCGCGUAGGCGGUUUCUUAAGUCUGAUGUGAAAGCCCACGGCUCAACCGUGGAGGGUCAUUGGAAACUGGGAAACUUGAGUGCAGAAGAGGAAAGUGGAAUUCCAUGUGUAGCGGUGAAAUGCGCAGAGAUAUGGAGGAACACCAGUGGCGAAGGCGACUUUCUGGUCUGUAACUGACGCUGAUGUGCGAAAGCGUGGGGAUCAAACAGGAUUAGAUACCCUGGUAGUCCACGCCGUAAACGAUGAGUGCUAAGUGUUAGGGGGUUUCCGCCCCUUAGUGCUGCAGCUAACGCAUUAAGCACUCCGCCUGGGGAGUACGACCGCA